rnacentral:lncRNA from 1 species
UUCAGUUAUUCGGAGAAAUGUCUCUAUUUAUCAUUGAUUAGUACUUCUGUUUUUCCAGGAUUCAGCAUGGAGCAGCUGAUGAGCGUUCCUGCUGGUCGGAGACGGAAAUAUCAUGACGAUGUUACAGUGAUUGUGAUAGUUCUGGGCACGAACAAGCGCACCUCAAAGGCUUCAACAUGUUUAUGAAUCUCAGCUUCAAAUUCCGCCCUCUGCAACUUUCGUUUGCUGGCUGUUGUCUAGAAAAUCUACAGAUUAGGGAUCAUUACAUAAUUGGAUCACCUCACUAUAUAUUAUUUUCAUGGAACGUGUUCUCUAUGUAUCUGUAAACACUAGUGAGCCUUUAUAUGAAAUGCAAAAAUUAGUUAUAACGUUCAAGGAAUUUCAUUUGAUGCAAAUUGGUAUGAAUUAUCUUUCUUUCCUUUUUCUCCCCUUUUUUUUUUGGCCCUUAAGAAUUGAAACUUGAAAACGUCGAAGUGUAAGCUAUUAAGAGAGAAAAAUUUUAUUAAUUUAAUUUUUGUUUUCAUCGACCUAUGCAUAUGCCAUAUGUUUUUCCAAUCCAACGCCACCUAACACGUGCACAAUUUUCAUAAACUGUGAUGGUCAGAUUUGAACUCUCUGAUUCAACACAACAUGAUAAAAUUAGAUGGCAUAAACAAGAAUGCCAAGAAAAAUAUAAAAAAUGGCAUUACAGGACAAUCAUGCAAAACAUGUCAUUACCUGAAGGAAUCUAAGCUAUUACCAACUUCAUUAUUCCGAUCUCGCUAAGAAGAUACAAGUUUCAUCAUACCUUGUGCAUGGAUAGCUGGUAGAUUAGUCUUCCCCUUUUCUUCUUCAUUCUCUGUGAGUCUUCGUUUUGUAAGUGGAGAUCGUGCACAAAUUGUCAACGUGAGGUUUUGAUAAAGCUUAUUUGUAAAAUAAAGAAAGAUGGAUGAACAGAAUUGAUAGUGUUGUGGUGAUAGGAUUUAGGCCAGAAAUUGAAAGUGAAAAUUUUUUUCUAAUGGUCAGUUUUCGUUUGUCUAAAAAUUCGAAGGAAAUUUUUAAGAUCUGAUCCCAUCUUAAACAAUAAGUCUCAUCAAUAGUGAAAUUUUGAACAAAUCGCGUUUUCUAUCAUGGAGCUCUUUG